rnacentral:rRNA from 1 species
UUGACCUCGGAUCAGGUAGGGAUACCCGCUGACUAC